rnacentral:lncRNA from 1 species
UCUCAACAAAAAUUGUGUGGGGGUUGUUUUUGUUUUUUGAGACAGGUUCUUUCUCUGUUGCCCAGGCUGGAGUGUGCAGUGGAACAAUCAUUGCAGCCUUGACCUUCUUGGCUCAAGCAAUCCUCCUGCCUCCCGAGUAGCUGAGUCUACAGGUGUGUGCCACCAUGCCUGAAUGGAUAUGCAGUUUGUUUUUUUUUUUCUGUUUUUUGUUUUCUCUUUAAGACACGAGGUCUCACCGUGUUGCCCCGGCUGAUCUUGAAUUCCUGGGCUCAGGCAUUCCUCCUGCCUCAGCCUCCCAAAGUGCUGGGAUUACAGAUGCAAGCCACCAUGCCUCAUCUGUUUGCUGAUUUAAGACAGGUUUAUGUGCAUUAUUAUCUUUAGAGGCACGUAGAAUCUAGACAUAUACUUGAAACUUGGCUCUCUAUCCUGAAAGUUGAAGUUAGAGUUCUUUGAUCCUGGUGAGAUGUUAAUUGUAAUUUUAAUUUUCACAUGUUAAUAUUGUGACUUAUAUUUUGUGAUGAGUCUCUAAAAUGAUUAAAUGACUUAUUUUUUUUAUGAAAAAUUUUUUGUUAAUAAAAUAUCAGAGUAUUUUGAGUAUGUGGAAGGAAUGCCUGAAUAGAAGCUGAUCUAUCUUAACAUACCUCAAUAACUCCAGUUUUAAUAUGGUGAGUGAGGAGUUGACUGGGAGAAGGAGAGAUCCAGUUCUUGUUCUAGUCCUUGGCACAUACACUCUCUGGGUUUUGAGAAAAGGAUGGUCCUACCACAGUUCUAAGUUGUUUUCUCAAAGGCAAAAACAUGAUUUCGAAAUGACAUCACUUGUCAGAUUUUCUGGUAUGUGGAAAGAUUGAAUAAUCCUGCAUCUUUUGAAGCCUGAAACAUACAAUCUAAAGCCUGAAAUCUACCAUAAGGAACUUGGUAAAUUUUGUCAGAUACCAUGAAAAUGCACCUCUUCAUAGUUAACCACAGAUUGUAUAUGUAAAGGCAAAUUGGUGAUCAGGCUCAAGGUAAAAUAAUUAUUUGAAUGGAUUAUUGGGUUGAUUAGUAGCCAAAAACUAAAUGCAUGUUCAGGUCAAAAUGAAUUUGUUCAUUUUAGUUGGUACCAUUUUCCUUUUAUUAUUCAGAACUACAGAUUGUGCAUUUUAUUAAUAGGAAUGAAAGCUCAUGCUUACGGAUUUGAGUAGGGUGGAUGUAUAUAUUUUAUAAAUUCAAGUUGCAAAAUAUGUAAAGUCACUACUUUUUAAAUAGAAUAUAAAUGUUAAAACAGACAAAUCUAUGUUAUAUAUUUUUUAAUACAUAUAUCAGACUUGUUAGUUGAAUGCAGAUUACUUUGUGUGCUUUAUGGAAUUUCAUAACUUUUAAUAAUAAAGCAGUUGUCACUGGAUUUUUUUCUGUAGACUUGAAUACUAAAUGGGAUAGAUACCAGACCUCUUUUUGGUUUAUGAUGUGAAACUUCAUUUGUACAGUAGUUUCUCUUCACAAAAGACUGAAUUUUAAAGGAUUAUAUAAACAGGAACAUGUCCAUUUCCAAAAUGAGUGCAACAGAAUGAAGAUAGUCACUCAAACCAUCUAUUUAACACAUCAUCUUUAUGUAAUAUGUAGCUAGUUUUAGUGUUUAUGUUUUAAUAAGUCCCAAUUAAAGACUGAGCGUUUUCAGAGAAGAUGGAAAUGGAGACCCAGGCACUUGUUUAGAGUUAUCGUGAGUCCGAUGUUUCUGAACUUCAAGUUGUACAAUUAAGGACAUACUGUAAGAACUUCUGGAUGCUUUCUGGAGUAUACAAACAGAUCAACUAAUGACUUAAAUGAGUGACUCUUGAAGCUGCAAGAAGAGGAAGGAAAUAACCACAAGAAGGGGCUAUCUCAGCGUCUGUUAUUUCUGACAGGAAGAAUUAAAUAUGCUCUGCUGGUAAUUUCUAAGUGUUCUUUUCUACAGGGGAUCUGCUUGCCUCAGGAGCACCUUAAUCCUCAUUGAGGCAGCCAUUCUGCCAUAAAAAUGAUCAUGUUUCAAACUGUUCCUGCCGUCCUACACAACUAUGUUAGUAGAUGGUUAGAUAAAUAUAUGAACCAUCUUCUUUUGUACUUUGAUGGUGCCCUUUUCCUUUAUUAUAAUCCUUAAAGUAAUUUCUACUUUCCAUAGUAGGAUUUGACUUUUCUCCACUACUUUAAGCUACUCUGGAUAAGUGAUUCUGUUUAUGUCCUCCCUAUAUUUCUCACUGAUUUUCACACUAACAUAACACAUAACAAAGUUAAACAUAAGCUAAAUUGAAGGAUCAAGUGACACAGCUAAGAGUUUUGUGUACUUGGAUAAUAAAGCUCAAAGCCACAGUGGUUAUCUGUCCUGUUGGGAGCCCCUUUCAACCAGUUUUUUAGUUGCCUGUGAGAUUUAUUUUUAAUGUUUGCCUGCGUGAUGCAGAAUACAUAAGUGGGAAUCCCUACACCCUUUACAGUUAAGUGGAUUAUGGAAAUAAUAAGGAAAGUUUAUCCCAAGAUAGGAAGUAUCUUCUCAUGUGUGUACCUGGCCUUCAAGGACUUAAUGUGGGUGAAUAUAUAUCAUCAGACAAGAUCCUAAUAUAGAUGGCUGUAUCCUGCAGAUAGCCAAUUCAACAUUAAAAUUUUAUGUCUCCAUAUUCACCCCAAUGAAAACAUAUUUAUUUUAUCCUGCUAUAAUUUAAUGACAUUCCCAUCCAACCUAGUUAACCAGGCAGUGAUACUCAGUAGUCCUCUCCUUGCAUUUUUCAAGUCCUGUUGAGUGUAACGUUAAAAUGUCUCUGAGAUUUCUACCUUCUCUCCGGUCUCGUUACCAUUAGGGCCUUUCACUACCUGGCCUUGGUGUCCCUAGGCUGCUCUUCAGCCAUCCACAAACCUUGUUUCAUAAGCAGUAGCAAUGCAACCCUCCACUGUCCUCUGCUAAUGUUCUUCCCUGUUGCUAGACUGUUCAUGAUCUGCAUUUCUACCUGAAAGGUCUAGUUUUCAAAGGUAGCUGAAAGGUUGUCAUCCAUGUCCUUUCUUCUCUCCCUACCAGUCAUCUAUCCUGAACUUUUUAACACUAGGGACAGUGUGGCAAUUGUGUUUGUGUCCCCAGCACAUAGCACACAGUACCUAGUAUACAGUACCUGUAGCGCAUAGGCAUUUAAUAAGUGUGUAUUGAAUUAACUUGGUUAUACUUGUAUUUUUAUCCUAGCUUUCUCAAAGAAACUUAGGUGGUAGCUAUUUUGAAACAUACAUCAAGAAGCACCACCUGAGUAAAAUGUUAUAGCAGAACCCUGCUCUUUCUAUCCCAGAGAGUUUGAGAAAAUUACUUUUAAAUAAAUCAUUAAUCAUUCCUCAUUGGUUUUGGCUGCUUUUUUAUAGGUGUUUCUCAUAUCUUUAUCUCAGGCAAAUUGCUUGUCACAAAUUAAUUGUUUUAAACUAAAUACAUCUCAGGAACCAUAAAAUCAUAAAGGUAAACCUGACAUAAAGUUAAAAACCAACAUUAAGCAGAUAAUUAUUGUGUACCUUUCAUGUGCCAAGAAGGAUGGCAGAUAAAGUAUAUAUCUUCAAAGGGCUUAUGUAAUAAGGGGGAUAAUAAAUAGAAAAACAUAUCAUAAAAUGUUACAAGCCUUAAGAGGUGCAGAUAGUUUCUGAUUAUCACAGAAACAUGUCUGCCAAAAGUACUGUAACGCAUAAAGAUAGACGGGCCAGGCACAGUGGCUCACGCCUGUAAUCCCAGCACUUUGGGCGAGUGGAUCGCAAGAUCAGGAGCUUGAGACCAGCCUGGCCAACAUGGUGAAACCCCGUCUCUACUAAAAAUACAAAAAUUAAUGGCGUCUGUAAUCCCAGCUACUUGGGAGACUGAGGCAGGAGAAUAGCUUGAAUCCGGGAGGCAGAGGUUGCAGUGAAUUAAGAUCACGCCAUUGCACUCCAGUCUGGGACAGCGAGACUCCAUCUCCAAAAAAAAAAAAAA